GGGCCCGCACAAGCAGUGGAGCGUGUGGUUUAAUUCGACGCAACGCGAAGAACCUUACCAGGGCUUGACAUGUACGUAGUAGGGAUCCGAAAGGUGACCGACCCCUCGGGGAGCGUAUACAGGUGGUGCA
rnacentral:rRNA from 1 species